CGUAGGUGGCAAGCGUUGUCCGGAUUUACUGGGCGUAAAGGGCGUGCAGGCGGUCUGUUAAGUUCAGGGUGAAAGCUCCCGGCUCAACUGGGAGAGGUCCUUGGAUACUGGCAGACUUGAGGGAGGUAGAGGAGAGUGGAAUUCCCGGUGUAGUGGUGAUAUGCGUAGAUAUCGGGAGGAACACUAGUGGCGAAGGCGGCUCUCUGGGCCUUUCCUGACGCUGAGACGCGAAAGCGUGGGGAGCGAACCGGAUUAGAUACCCGGGUAGUCCACGCCGUAAACUAUGAACACUAGGUGUGGGGGGUAUCGACCCCCUCCGUGCCGAAGCUAACGCAAUAAGUGUUCCGCCUGGGGAGUACGGCCGCAAGGCUAA
rnacentral:rRNA from 1 species